UACGUAGGGGGCAAGCGUUAUCCGGAUUCAUUGGGCGUAAAGAGCGCGUAGGCGGACUGUUAAGUCAGAUGUGAAAACUGGGGGCUCAACCCGCAGCCUGCAUCUGAAACUGGCAGUCUUGAGUCUGGUAGAGGAAAGUGGAAUUCCCAGUGUAGCGGUGAAAUGCGCAGAUAUUGGGAGGAACACCAGUGGCGAAGGCGGCUUUCUGGGCCACGACUGACGCUGAGGCGCGAAAGCUAGGGGAGCGAACAGGAUUAGAUACCCUGGUAGUCCUAGCCGUAAACGAUGGGCACUAGGUGUGGGGGGUCAUCAACUCCCUCCGUGCCGCAGCUAACGCAUUAAGUGCCCCGCCUGGGGAGUACGGCCGCAAGGCUAAA
rnacentral:rRNA from 1 species